rnacentral:rRNA from 1 species
AGUGAACGCUGGCGGUAGGCCUAACACAUGCAAGUCGAACGGCAGCACAGUAAGAGCUUGCUCUUACGGGUGGCGAGUGGCGGACGGGUGAGGAAUACAUCGGAAUCUACUUUUUCGUGGGGGAUAACGUAGGGAAACUUACGCUAAUACCGCAUACGACCUACGGGUGAAAGCAGGGGAUCUUCGGACCUUGCGCGAUUGAAUGAGCCGAUGUCGGAUUAGCUAGUUGGCGGGGUAAAGGCCCACCAAGGCGACGAUCCGUAGCUGGUCUGAGAGGAUGAUCAGCCACACUGGAACUGAGACACGGUCCAGACUCCUACGGGAGGCAGCAGUGGGGAAUAUUGGACAAUGGGCGCAAGCCUGAUCCAGCCAUACCGCGUGGGUGAAGAAGGCCUUCGGGUUGUAAAGCCCUUUUGUUGGGAAAGAAAAGCAGCAGGUUAACACCCCGCUGUUCUGACGGUACCCAAAGAAUAAGCACCGGCUAACCUCGUG